AAAUUUCUCAAUCUCACAUCUCAUAGCCGACAUGCUUACUUGUGCUUAUAACAGUGAACCCAAUAAUUAGUGAAGUAAACCGAUUCGGCAAUACCCAGGAAAGAUCACAAUGAUCUCCUAGACAAUAUUACCAUUCCACGUAAAAUCUCAGUUGGACGGAGGGGUCACAAGUGGUCCCACUUAAAAUCCGGCCUUCUAGACAGAAGUUACGUGCACGGUAUAUUAUCAGAACUUUCGUAUCAGAAUAACUUCAAUAAUUAUCGUCAGGACAUUCACCACCGAUACUCAAGCACACCAAAGCAAAGCUCCACCCGCUUCAAGACUUCCAAAACUCCACCUGCUUUUAAAAUAAAAUAAUUUCUAACAACAGUAUUUCUGAUGUGGAAGAUCAGACUAAGCCGCAACCACAGAGCAUACUUAUAAUUACAAGAAAUUAUUUUAACACUAAAAGCUC
rnacentral:lncRNA from 1 species